GCCGGGUGCGGUGGCAUGUGCCUGUAAUCCAAGUCACUGGGAGGCUGAGGUUGGUGGAUCAAGUGAGCUGAGGAGCUCUGGGCUGCAGCACUGUAAUGUCGAACGGGUGUCCACGCUAAGUUCGGUAUCGAUAUGGUGUUCCAGGGGGAGCCCGGGACCACCAGGUUGUCUAAGGAGGGGUGAACCGUGCUAGGUUGGAAACGAAGCAUGUAAAUCCCCCGUGCUGUCCAGUAGUGGGAUAAUACCUGUGAGUAGAUGCUGCAGUGCAGCCUUGGCAAAACAUUGAGACCUAAUCUUUU
rnacentral:SRP_RNA from 1 species